CCUACGGGGGGCUGCAGUGGGGAAUUUUGCGCAAUGGGGGCAACCCUGACGCAGCAACGCCGCGUGAGUGAUGAAGGCCUUCGGGUCGUAAAGCUCUGUCAGAGGGGAAGAAAUGCAGGUGGUGAACAACCAUUCUGUUUGACGGUACCCUCAAAGGAAGCACCGGCUAACUCCGUGCCAGCAGCCGCGGUAAUACGGAGGGUGCGAGCGUUGUUCGGAAUUAUUGGGCGUAAAGCGCGUGUAGGCGGUUUGUUAAGUCUGAGGUGAAAGCCCCGGGCUCAACCUGGGAAGUGCAUUGGAUACUGGCAGACUUGAGUACGGGAGGGGAGAGUGGAAUUCCCAGUGUAGGAGUGAAAUCCGUAGAUAUUGGGAGGAACACCGGUGGCGAGGGCGGCUCUCGGGACCGAUACUGACGCUCAGGGACGAAAGCGUGGGGAGCAAACAGGAUUAGAUCCCCCUGUAGU
rnacentral:rRNA from 1 species